rnacentral:rRNA from 1 species
CCUACGGGUGGCAGCAGUGGGGAAUAUUGCACAAUGGGGGAAACCCUGAUGCAGCGACGCCGCGUGAGUGAAGCAGUAUUUCGGUAUGUAAAGCCCUAUCAGCCGGGAAGAAAUAAAGUCCUUCGGACUUUGGACGGUACCUGCCUAAGAAGCCCCGGCUAACUACGUGCCAGCAGCCGCCGUAAUACGUAGGGGGCAAGCGUUAUCCGGAUUUACUGGGUGUAAAGGGAGCGUAGACGGCAGCGCAAGUCUGGAGGGAAAUACCAUGGCUUAACCAUGGAAAUGCUUUGGAAACUGUGCAGCGGGAGUGCAGGAGAGGUAAGCGGAAUUCGUAGUGUAGCGGUGAAAUGCGUAGAUAUUAGGAGGAACACCAGUGGCGAAGGCGGCUUACUGGACUGUAACUGACGUUGAGGCUCGAAAGCGUGGGGAGCAAACAGGAUUAGAUACCCUGGUAGUC